rnacentral:rRNA from 1 species
GACGUAGGGCGCGAGCGUUGUCCGGAUUUAUUGGGCGUAAAGAGCUCGUAGGCGGCUUGUCGCGUCGACUGUGAAAACCCGCGGCUCAACCGUGUGGUCUGCAGUCGAUACGGGCAGGCUAGAGUUCGGUAGGGGAGACUGGAAUUCCUGGUGUAGCGGUGAAAUGCGCAGAUAUCAGGAAGAACACCAAUGGCGAAAGCAGCUCUCUGGGACGGUACUGACGCUGAGACGCGAAAGCGUGGGGAGCGAACAGG